CGUAGGUGACCUGCGGAAGGAUCAUUCACAAUUUACAAGUGCUCCUACGCUCCAACUCCUCUACGGGGAAGGAGACAAGGACGCUGUGGACGAAAAAUCCAUUCCCACCUUGUGUGUAUCGUAACAAACAACCUAUUUCACAGAAUAUGAUUUUUAGCAAGACCGUCUGAAUGCAUCUCAUUAGCCGAUCUGCGAAAGCAGGGAGGAAAAAAAAAUGAAAUACAACUUUCAACAACGGAUCUCUUGGCUCUCGCAUCGAUGAAGAACGCAGCGAAACGCGAUAUGUAAUGUGAAUUGCAGAAUUCAGUGAAUCAUCGAAUCUUUGAACGCAUAUUGCGCUCUUUGGUAUUCCGAAGAGCAUGCUUGUUUGAGUAUCAGAGAACCUAUCUCGAACCCUUUUUUUCUGAGGGAUCGAGGAACUGAGUAAUUCCGGUUCUUGUCAACUGGGUUACUUGAAAUGAGGGUGCAUCAAUCUCCCUUGGGUUCAUAUUCCUUGGCCUGAAAGCAUAUCUAUUUAGUCCCGUCAAAAGGAUUAUUGCUCUUUGCUGAAAGCGCUAUAGGGGAGCCUGAGAGGAGUCUUGCCUCGAAUACAGGAACUCUAAUCAUAAACUCGAUCUCAAAUCAAGUAAGACUACCCGCUGAACUUAAGCAUAUCAAUAAGCGGAGGAAAAGAAACUAACAAGGAUUCCCCUAGUAACGGCGAGUGAAGCGGGAUGAGCUCAAAUUUGAAAUCUGGCUGGUUUUACCGGUCCGAGUUGUAGUUUAUAGAGGUGUUUUCGGUGGCAGCCUGGGUAUAAAUCCUUUGGAAUAGGGUAUCAUAGAGGGUGAGAAUCCCGUCUUUGACUUAGGUUAUGCUACUAUGUGAUACAUCUUCAAAGAGUCGAGUUGUUUGGGAAUGCAGCUCUAAAUGGGUGGUAAAUUUCAUCUAAAGCUAAAUACAGGCGAGAGACCGAUAGCGAACAAGUACCGUGAGGGAAAGAUGAAAAGAACUUUGAAAAGAGAGUUAAACAGUGCGUGAAAUUGUUGAAAGGGAAACGUUUGAAGCCAGCCGUGCGGGCGGAAAAUCAGCCUAGCUGUGGUGAGGAGCUAUGGGGGGUUCGGAGCGCAAGCCCGGCCUUUUGUGGCAUCCGUAUCACAAUGGGUGCACUUUUUCGUUUGCAGGUCAACAUCAGUUUGCUUCGCUGGAAAAGGCCUUGAGGGAAUGUGGCAGCUUUGGCUGUGUUAUAGCCCUGAGGAGAUACAGUGGAGUGGACUGAGGAGUCGCAGCGUGUGCUCUUGGGCAAGGUAGACUGGGUGCUGUGGGAUGGGGCGAGGUACAAUGCAUGCAUUUUGCUUCGUCUUUUCUGUCUUACACUCGCUCAUCUCUACUCUCCACGCUUAGGA
rnacentral:rRNA from 1 species